rnacentral:rRNA from 1 species
AGAAUCAACGCUGGCGGCGUGCCUAACACAUGCAAGUCGAACGAGAAAGUGGAGCAAUCCAUGAGUAAAGUGGCGCACGGGUGAGUAACACGUGACUAACCUACCCUUGAGUGGGGAUAACCUAGAGAAAUCUGGGCUAAUACCGCAUAAUACCUUCGGGUCAAAGGAGCAAUUCGCUUAAGGAGGGGGUCGCGGCCGAUUAGUUAGUUGGCGGGGUAAUGGCCCACCAAGACUGUGAUCGGUAUCC